rnacentral:piRNA from 1 species
UGAUAUAUAAAUAUGGUUCGGCCUUACC